UACCCGCAGCACAAGUGGUGGUCAUUAUUAUUGGGCCUAAAGCGUCCGUAGCUGGCUUGUUAGAUGCCUGGGUAAAUCGAUGCGCUCAACGUAUCGAAUUCCGGGUAGACCGGCAAGCUCGAGACCGGGAGAGGCGUGAGCUACUCAAGGGGUAGGGGUAAAAUCCUGUAAUCCUUUGGGGAGGACCAGUGGCGAAGGCGUCACGCUAGAACGGCUCUGACAGUGAGGGACGAAGCCCUGGGGCGCAAACCGG
rnacentral:rRNA from 1 species